rnacentral:rRNA from 1 species
GCGGACAGAUGGGAGCUUGCUCCCUGAUGUUAGCGGCGGACGGGUGAGUAACACGUGGGUAACCUGCCUGUAAGACUGGGAUAACUCCGGGAAACCGGGGCUAAUACCGGAUGCUUGUUUGAACCGCAUGGUUCAAACAUAAAAGGUGGCUUCGGCUACCACUUACAGAUGGACCCGCGGCGCAUUAGCUAGUUGGUGAGGUAAUGGCUCACCAAGGCAACGAUGCGUAGCCGACCUGAGAGGGUGAUCGGCCACACUGGGACUGAGACACGGCCCAGACUCCUACGGGAGGCAGCAGUAGGGAAUCUUCCGCAAUGGACGAAAGUCUGACGGAGCAACGCCGCGUGAGUGAUGAAGGUUUUCGGAUCGUAAAGCUCUGUUGUUAGGGAAGAACAAGUACCGUUCGAAUAGGGCGGUACCUUGACGGUACCUAACCAGAAAGCCACGGCUAACUACGUGCCAGCAGCCGCGGUAAUACGUAGGUGGCAAGCGUUGUCCGGAAUUAUUGGGCGUAAAGGGCUCGCAGGCGGUUUCUUAAGUCUGAUGUGAAAGCCCCCGGCUCAACCGGGGGAGGGUCAGUGGAAACUGGGGAACUGUGAGUGCAGAAGAGGAGAGUGAAUUCCACGUGUAGC